AACGAGGUGUCAAUUCAAGUGUCAGAGAAAGGACCACCAGAGAGACCAUCACUGAGACUAGGAAUACCUGAAAGUGCAGCAGACAAAAAAAGAGAAUUUCAAGGCAGGCAGGGAGAAGACGGAGAUGCGAAAGACACCAGUCCUUAGGGUGGGGAGCACACUUCCGGGACGCGAGGGACCCCUUCCAGGUGAGAGCCCAGUUCUCUACAAUUAAGAAAGAAAAAAAAGCCCAACUUUGACCCCGACGUGACUUGAACACGCAACCUUCUGAUCUGGAGUCAGACGCGCUACCAUUGCGCCACGAGGUCACAGCAAGCAUGCGACUUCGCAUCGCUAAAGACCUCGUUUCUCCAGUAUGGUCGCAGGGCUGGGAGGCUACGGAGGAAAAAUGCCCUCUUUCCUGAAUUCCAGCACCAAUUUAGAGCCCUGGCGAGUGUCGUUUCUCGGGUGUGGGAACACGGACGCGCUGGGACAUCCCAGACUGAACUGCGGCGCCGCAGCGGAGCAGCUACCCGGCGGCCGACACUCGGGCUCCGCCUUCUCCGCGUCGCGGAGUGACCCAGCGAGGGGACGCCGGGAUGUGGGGACUGGCCCCGGGGGGUGGGAUUGAGGAGAUGCCCGGGUGGAGGCCUGGGAUCAGGGGGAUCCCGGGGCCAUAGGGAUUCUGGGAGGGAGCGAGGGGACGCAGGGGAGAAGGGGACGCCGCGGAGGACUAGGGGACGUGGGGGUGGGUGACUCCGAGGAGCAGUAGGGACGCCGCAGAUGUGAGAGAAGAGCAGGAAUUUAGGAUCAACUGUGAGUCCUGAGGUGCCAGCCCCCAGGCUGUCAGAAAAGCAGGAAGCCAAAGGCUCCUUGUCUUUCCUCUGGGAGGGAAGUCAGCGGCAAUUACUGAUUCCACCUCCAGGUGGCCAGACACCAUCAGCCACACAGCAAAGACACUGUGAGAACUUCAGAACCUGCAUCCAGAGUCUACUGGAAGGCUGCCCCACACCAAGGAAAGACCAGUGUCACUCUAUUUCUUUUUUUUUUUUUUUUUUUGAGAC